rnacentral:rRNA from 1 species
UACGGAGGGUGCAAACGUUGCUCGGAAUCAUUGGGCGUAAAGCGCACGUAGGCGGCCUGUUAAGUCGGGUGUGAAAGCCCUGGGCUCAACCCAGAAAGUGCACUCGAAACUGGCGGGCUUGAAUAUGGAAGAGGGUCGCGGAAUUCCCGGUGUAGAGGUGAAAUUCGUAGAUAUCGGGAGGAACACCAGUAGCGAAGGCGGCACUCUGGGCCGUGACUGACGCUGAGGGAGCGAAAGCGUGGGUAGCAAACAGGAUUAGAUACCCGGAG